UACGGAGGGGGCUAGCGUUGUUCGGAAUUACUGGGCGUAAAGCGCACGUAGGCGGCUUUGUAAGUUAGAGGUGAAAGCCCAGGGCUUAACCCUGGAAUUGCCUUUAAGACUGCAUCGCUAGAAUCGUGGAGAGGUAAGUGGAAUUCCGAGUGUAGAGGUGAAAUUCGUAGAUAUUCGGAAGAACACCAGUGGCGAAGGCGACUUACUGGACACGUAUUGACGCUGAGGUGCGAAAGCGGUGGGAGCAAACAGG
rnacentral:rRNA from 1 species